UACAUGGGGUGCAAACGUUGCUCGGAAUCAUUGGGCGUAAAGCGCGCGUAGGCGGCUUUGCAAGUCGGGUGUGAAAUCCCCAGGCUUAACCUGGGAACUGCAUUCGAGACUGCAUUGCUAGAGUAUGGGAGAGGGAAGUGGAAUUUCCGGUGUAGCGGUGAAAUGCGUAGAUAUCGGAAGGAACAUCAGUGGCGAAAGCGACUUCCUGGACCAAUACUGACGCUCAUGUGCGAAAGCGUGGGGGAGCAAACAGGG
rnacentral:rRNA from 1 species